GUUUACUCAUGAUAGGGCUUAUUCCAUCAUGUACAUAUGUAGUUACUUGGGAAUGUGCCUCUUCCAAAAAGUUUACCAGAUCCCUCAUCUAAAAAAUGAAGGCCAUUAUAGCAUCCAAAGCAAGUCUCUUAGUAUAGGCUUAGCUACUUGGAAAUGGAUCUGCUCAAAUAAAAAAUUGAACCGGGAAAUCAGUGCUAACACCAGGAGCAUAAGCUCUUUCAGACUUUGUCAAGGUGAGCUAAUUGUAAAGGUGAAAAUGAAGAAAAUCAAAUCACUGCAAACUAUAUAAAUGCACAUAUAUGAUUAGUCUGUUUCACAAAAAUUUGAAAAAAAAGAAAAGAAA